rnacentral:lncRNA from 1 species
UCUGCCUUUGAGAGGACCUCAGGAAGCUUCCACUCAUGGUAGAAAGUAAAGGGGGUGCAGGUGCUUCACAUGGUGAGAAAGAGAUCAAGAGAGAGAGCCAUGAGAUCAUCAUUGGAUCUUCACUGUGAGAAACCAGUGGUAUUCUUGGAGGAUAUUCACCCUUGGAAUCAAGACACCAUACUGUGAGUAUGCCAAGCAGCCACAUGGAAAG